CCCCACCGUGGGGUAGAGGCCUCCGGGGGGACGGCCAUCUCCCUGCGGCCCAUCAGCUUCCCGUUCCUGGUGAAAAACACCUGCAGGACCACAGGGGGGCGACAUGUCCCUGGUCCCAGAGCUGGAUGCUUCAGAUCUGCGGUUGAUGUUCCACCAGCUGGUCCAGUCUCCACCAUGUCCACUGUGGGAUGCUGCUGCUGACCUUCCUCCAGCCCUCUGCUUCCAACUCCCUUUUUCCACCAGUCAACUCUGCAUUGCCUUCACUAUACUGUUAUGCUAACUUACAUACUGUUUGAAUUUUACUGCUAGCUAUAUAUGGAGUAUGUUUAAUGUCAGAGCUGUACAUCAUAAGAGUAAAUUAUGAGUCAGUUUUCAACGUUAGCUUAUACUUUGUCUGUGCCACAUAUCCUGUCAUGCAUGUAUCCAAAUGUGUGUUGUGUUUUCCUUGCUUUCCCACCCCUCCCUCUUCUCCCAUCCCUCCCCCUUGCCCUCUUCUGUCCUUCUCAACCCGCCCGGCCAGCAGGCAGAUGGGUCCCCCCUAUAUAGAGCCGGGUUCUGCUCGAGGUUUCUUCCCUGUUAAAAGGGUGUUUUUCCUUGCCACUGUCGCCUUUGGGCUUGCUCUGGGGGUCAGGUAUUUGGGUUCUGUAAAGCGUCUUGAGACGAGUUGACUGUAAUUGACGCUAUAUAAAUAAAAUUGAAUUGAAUUGAAUUGAAUUGAAUUGUAUUUUAAAAAAAAUCAGACACACAUUAAAAAUGCAUUGAAGUACAAUUAAAGAGCUUAUACCUUG